rnacentral:rRNA from 1 species
CCCUUAGAUGUUCUGGGCCGCACACGCGCUACACUGAAGGAAGCAGCGUGUACUCCUGGAUCGAAAGAUUUGGGUAACCCGCGAAUCUCCUUCGUGCUAGGGAUUGAGGUUUGCAAUUAUCCUUCAUGAACGAGGAAUUCCCAGUAAGUGCAAGUCAUAAGCUUGCGCUGACUACGUCCCUGCCCUUUGUACACACCGCCCGUCGCUACUACCGAUUGAAUGAUUUAGUGAGGACUUCGGACUGGGACCGAUGCGGCUUUCGGGCUGCGUCGGUAUUCUGGAAAGAUGUCCAAACUGUAUCAUUUAGAGGAAGUAAAANUCGUANCA